GGAGUAAAGCUUGCCAUGAGAAGUCAGCCGAGGCCAUAGUACCCGAUAUUUUUUUUCUACUCAACUCGGUGAAGGGC
rfam:Bacteroides sp. CAG:462 genomic scaffold, scf304